rnacentral:rRNA from 1 species
GGGGGGGGGGGGGGGGGGGGGGGGGGGGGGGGGGGGGGGGGGGGGGGGGGGGGGGGGGCCGGGGGGGAGGGGCGGGGGGGUGGGUAGGGCCGAGGGAGCGGCGGGGGGGUGGGGGAUGGCGGCCGGAAACGGGGGGUGAUGACGCAUACGUCCUGGGGGAGAAAGUGGGGGGGCGUCGGACCUCACGCUAUCAGAUGAGCCUAGGUCGGAUUAGGUAGUUGGUGGGGUAAAGGCCUACCAAGGCGACGAUCCGUAACUGGUCUGAGAGGAUGAUCAGUCACACUGUAACUGAGACACGGUCCAGACUCCUCCGGGAGGCAGCAGUGGGGAAUAUUGGACAAUGGGCGAAAGCCUGAUCCAGCCAUGCCGCGUGUGUGAAGAAGGUCUUCGGAUUGUAAAGCACUUUAAGUUGGGAGGAAGGGCAGUAAGUUAAUACCUUGCUGUUUUGACGUUACCAACAGAAUAAGCACCGGCUAACUUCGUG